rnacentral:rRNA from 1 species
AUUGAACGCUGGCGGCAUGCCUUACACAUGCAAGUCGAACGGCAGCGCGGGAGCAAUCCUGGCGGCGAGUGGCGAACGGGUGAGUAAUAUAUCGGAACGUGCCCAGUAGUGGGGGAUAGCCCGGCGAAAGCCGGAUUAAUACCGCAUGAGACCUGAGGGUGAAAGCGGGGGAUCGCAAGACCUCGCGCUACUGGAGCGGCCGAUAUCAGAUUAGCUAGUUGGUGGGGUAAAGGCCUACCAAGGCAACGAUCUGUAGUUGGUCUGAGAGGACGACCAGCCACACUGGGACUGAGACACGGCCCAGACUCCUACGGGAGGCAGCAGUGGGGGAAUUUUGGACAAUGGGCGCAAGCCUGAUCCAGCAAUGCCGCGUGCAGGAAGAAGGCCUUCGGUUGUAAACUGCUUUGUCAGGGAAGGAAAUACCCUUGGGAUAAUAACCUCGGGGGGAGUGACGGUACCUGAAGAAUAAGCACCGGCUAACUACGUAG